rnacentral:rRNA from 1 species
GAUGAACGCUGGCGGCGUGCCUAACACAUGCAAGUCGAACGAAGCAUCUUAUAGGAAGUUUUCGGAUGGAAUAUGGGAUGACUGAGUGGCGGACGGGUGAGUAACGCGUGGAUAACCUGCCUCACACUGGGGGAUAACAGUUAGAAAUGGCUGCUAAUACCGCAUAAGCGCACAGUACCGCAUGGUACGGUGUGAAAAACCCAGGUGGUGUGAGAUGGAUCCGCGUCUGAUUAGCCAGUUGGCGGGGUAACGGCCCACCAAAGCGACGAUCAGUAGCCGACCUGAGAGGGUGACCGGCCACAUUGGGACUGAGACACGGCCCAAACUCCUACGGGAGGCAGCAGUGGGGAAUAUUGCACAGUGGGCGAAAGCCUGAUGCAGCGACGCCGCGUGAGUGAAGAAGUAUCUCGGUAUGUAAAGCUCUAUCAGCAGGGAAGAAAA